GAGAUAGAAAAGUUGAUUGGAAAU
rnacentral:siRNA from 1 species